rnacentral:rRNA from 1 species
CCUACGGGUGGCUGCAGUCGAGAAUAUUUGGCAAUGGGCGAAAGCCUGACCAUGCGACGCCGCGUGCGGGAUGAAGGCCUUCGGGUCGUAAACCGCUGUUACGAGGAACGAAGAUCCCGCUGGUGAACAAUCGGCGGGAAGUGACGGUACCUCGAGAGAAAGCCACGGCUAACUCCGUGCCAGCAGCCGCGGUAAUACGGAGGUGGCAAGCGUUGCUCGGAUUUACUGGGUGUAAAGGGCACGUAGGCGGUUCCAUAAGCCCUGCUUGAAAUACUUCGGCUCAACCAAAGUAGGCGGCAGGGGACUGCGGAACUUGAGGAUGGGAGAGGCGAGCGGAAUUCCCGGUGUAAGGGUGAAAUCUGUAGAGAUCGGGAGGAACACCAGUGGCGAAAGCGGCUCGCUGGCCCAUAUCUGACGCUGAGGUGCGAAAGCUAGGGGAG